CCAACCCUAACUACAUAAUUCACAUUUGAAAUUUGGAACCACUUUUGACUGAUUAAUAUGGCCGCAGAAGCAAAUAAGAUCCGCAGGUACUCUCUUUCUUCUUCUUCUUCUUUCUCUGAUUCCAUCUCCGUUAUCUCAUUCUGCAAACUUUUCAGUCGAAUUUCAGAGAUUCACAACUUCAUCAAAAACGACGAAGAAGAAUCAAACCCUUCAGAUUCCGCCGAUUUACUCCACGACUGUGCUCUUCAUGUUCAAGUUGCGUNN
rnacentral:lncRNA from 1 species